ensembl:snoRNA
UAGCAUCCUUAAUAAACCCCCUGGUUGUCAUAUGUGGUCUCUGGGACAAGAAAGGGUGCGACAUCAAUCUUAGGAUCCACGGCCGAGAGCAGUGUGUCAGUAGCUCUUGGUUAUUUCACCCCUAAGACAGAA